GCAUAACGCGAAGAACCUUACCUGGCCUUGACAUUGAUAGAAUCUGCUAGAGAUAGCGGAGUGCCCUUCGGGAGCUUGAAACAGGUGCUGCACGGCUGUCGUCAGCUCGUGUCGUGAGAUGUUGGGUUAAGUCCCGCAACGAGCGCAACCCUCGUCACUAGUUACUAACGGUUCGGCCGAGGACUCUAGUGAGACUGCCUUCGUAAGGAGGAGGAAGGUGAGGACGACGUCAAGUCAUCAUGGCCCUUACGGCCAGGGCGACACACGUGCUACAAUGGGAUGUACAAUGAGACGCAAUACCGCGAGGUGGAGCAAAUCUAUAAAACAUCUCUCAGUUCGGAUUGUAGUCUGCAACUCGACUACAUGAAGCUGGAAUCACUAGUAAUCGUAGAUCAGCCAUGCUACGGUGAAUACGUUCCCGGGUCUUGUACACACCG
rnacentral:rRNA from 1 species